GGACCCGCACAAGUAGUGGAGCAUGUGGUUUAAUUCGAAGAUACGCGAGGAACCUUACCAGGACUUAAAUGUAAGUUGCAUGAUUCAGAAAUGGAUCUUUCUUCGGACUACUUACAAGGUGCUGCAUGGUUGUCGUCAGCUCGUGCCGUGAGGUGUCAGGUUAAGUCCUAUAACGAGCGCAACCCCUAUCGUUAGUUGCCAUCAAGUAAAGUUGGGAACUCUAGCGAAACUGCCGGUGCAAACCGUGAGGAAGGUGGGGAUGACGUCAAAUCAUCACGGCCCUUACGUCCUGGGCCACACACGUGCUACAAUGGUCAGUACAGAAAGCAGCCACUAUGCGAAUAGGAGCUAA
rnacentral:rRNA from 1 species